rnacentral:rRNA from 1 species
UGAGGGAAAGUUGCAAAGAACUUUGAAGAGAGAGUUCAAGAGUACGUGAAACUGCCCGGAGGUAAACGGGUGGGCCCUCGAAAUCCUCUUGCGGAGGGAUUCAGUCGGGAGCGCGGCAGAGCGACGUCGGCGACGGACCCCUCGAAAGGGCCGCGCCGGCGGCGUGCUUCGGCCGGCGCCCGACGCAAUUCCUUCCGCACCCAGGACGCCGCGACCGAUCGGGACCCGGCCAUGAGGGGAUCCCAGGAGGUGGCCGAGCGCACCGGACCCCGGUCCGGGCGCACGGUCUCGCCGGGAUCUCCGCGGUGCGCGGGAUCCGAUCGAGGUCAGACGGGUCUCCUGCCUCCGAGGCUGCGGAGCGUCGGGUCGGCGAGCCCCCGCGAGAUCGAACCACCCCAGUCGGUGGCCGGUCCGCGGGUGUGCCGCUGUCGGGCCCGAGCGACCGCGGAGGAGAGCGACCGGUCGGCGGCGAGUAGGUCGGUCACCCACCCGACCCGUCUUGAAACACGGACCAAGGAGUCUAACAUGUGCGCGAGUCGCAGGGUCUUGCCCAGGCCCUCGGGCGCAAUGAAAGUGAAUCGGUCGGGAUUCCCUCUCGAGAGAGGGGGAAGCACCGACGGCCCGUCCCGAUCGACACGUCGUUCGGGCGGAGUCGGAGCGUACACGUUGGGACCCGAAAGAUGGUGAACUAUGCCUGGGCAGAACGAAGCCAGGGGAAACCCUGGUGGAGGUUCGCAGCGGUUCUGACGUGCA